GGGCUAUUUCGGAGAUCAGUAGCCCUGUUGAUCGAGCAGUUUUAUCAGAAGACACUUGUGAUGGCAUUCCAAAGGCCAGGAGGUCCACAUCUGUGAGCUGUGAAAAGUCUGGUCAUAUGGAUAAUGAAUCCAGUCAUGAUUCAAAUGUGUCAAAGCCAACUGAGCAUAAAUCUGUGCCAUCAUCCUCUUCAUAUCCUCAUCUACC
rnacentral:misc_RNA from 1 species